UUCCGGAUUUGCCCUCAAAACAGAUAAACAUACUGUUAUGCUGUGACGCUUUUGUCUCUUCUGCCGCUUCGAUCUUUUUUCUUUAAUUCGUUUUGGGUCUUGGUCGGUUUCGUCAGAGAAGGUCGGUGAGAAAAAGAGACAGAAGGGCUGAACCUGCCGGGUGGAUAGUAAGGUAAUCGAUUUUGGCUGUUGGUUUGAAAUCAAUCAAUUUCCCAUUUUUUUGAUGAUGGGUUUUGUUGUCACCCCGACAGAGAGAAGGCGAGAGUAAAAAAGAAAGAGUGAGAAGAGAACAGGGAGAGAAGAGAAAGAAGAAGAAGAAGGAGGAGGAGACGGGAAGCUCUCUUGGUUUUCUUUGAUCAGUUGGUAUUUGUGGGAAUCUGAUGUGGUUUCUGUCUGAAUUUUUCUGAUUGAAAUUCUUUCCGGGAUUUCUUAUGUGUAGUUAAUUCAGGCUCCCGUAUUUGUCUUCAGCUGACCAAGCCUGUUACUUAGCCCCCAUUGGUAUGGAGACUGGGGAGUUUGCGGAGCUGCUGCCUGUGGUGAUGGAGUGACAGAGAAAAAUCCUGAACCUUCAAUGUAUCUGACAGUUGUUAAGGUCCAUUAAAGUUUUGGCGAAAAUUGAGAUCUUCGAAGCCAUUCAGAAGCAGGAAGAAAUCAUUGAAGCUUCCUAUGGAGCCAUGAUUGCUCAGGUUGAUCUUGGAGUUGAAAUCCCACUCGAACAUGUUCCAAUUGUCCAAGAGGAAAUAAGUCAAGUGUGUGGGUAGCUAAACAAUGUUUUGUAGCUUCUCAACUACCUGAAUCAAUGAUUGAAUACCCAACCCCAACACACAUUGAGGUACCACUCUUAAUUGUACUAAUGAUACUGAUAACAGUGGAAGAUCAAGAAAAUAUAUUUUCUCUAUAAUGACUUCAAACGCAAUGCCAUGAUGAAUAUCUCCUCUGCCUUCACUGAUCAGAAAAGAAGAUUUUUUUUCCUCACCUUGGUGUUGGAUUGGACAAUCAAUGUGAUGAACCAGUUUCAAAGAAACCGUGUGCUUCCCCAUCAUGGACUACACGCAAUUAAGAAGAGCUACUAGAUUGCAAAACGCAAUCAGAGGUUUUAAAGAGCUUAGAAAAGAUGGCGCCUUACUUGAAAAUUUUCACCUAUGAACGAUUGGAUCGGUUAAAAAGAACUGCCAUCUUCACUGAAUGUGAAGUGGGAAUGUGAUAGAGUUAGUAAUCGAGAAGUGAAGGAAAAUAUUUGACAUGUUGCUCCUUUCUGAUU